AGCUCCGAAUACGGGUGGAGAAGCUGAAAGGCCUCCAACGCUGCUGUUAUGCGUGGUUAGCCCUACGGUUCGGAGCAUU
ncrna:unclassified sequences c4-2 RNA